GAUGAACGCUGGCGGCGUGCCUAAUACAUGCAAGUCGAGCGAACGGACGAGAAGCUUGCUUCUCUGAUGUUAGCGGCGGGCGGGUGAGUAACACGUGGAUAACCUACCUAUAAGACUGGGAUAACUUCGGGAAACCGGAGCUAAUACCGGAUGAUAUUUUGAACCGCAUGGUUCAAAAGUGAAAGACGGCCUUGCUGUCACUUAUAGAUGGAUCCGCGCUGCAUUAGCUAGUUGGUAAGGUAACGGCUUACCAAGGCAACGAUGCAUAGCCGACCUGAGAGGGUGAUCGGCCACACUGGAACUGAGACACGGUCCAGACUCCUACGGGAGGCAGCAGUAGGGAAUCUUCCGCAAUGGGCGAAAGCCUGACGGAGCAACGCCGCGUGAGUGAUGAAGGUCUUCGGAUCGUAAAACUCUGUUAUUAGGGAAGAACAUAUGUGUAAGUAACUGUGCACAUCUUGACGGUACCUAAUCAGAAAGCCACGGCUAACUACGUG
rnacentral:rRNA from 1 species